rnacentral:rRNA from 1 species
UACGUAGGGGGGCGAGCGUUGUCCGGAAUUAUUGGGCGUAAAGGGCUCGUAGGCGGUCUGUCGCGUCGGGAGUGAAAACUCAGGGCUUAACCCUGAGCCUGCUUCCGAUACGGGCAGACUAGAGGUAUGCAGGGGAGAAUGGAAUUCCUGGUGUAGCGGUGAAAUGCGCAGAUAUCAGGAGGAACACCGGUGGCGAAGGCGGUUCUCUGGGCAUUACCUGACGCUGAGGAGCGAAAGUGUGGGGAGCGAACAGG